rnacentral:tRNA from 1 species
GCUGCCGUAGCUCAGUAGGCGAGAGCAGUUUCUCAGGUCGGUGGUUCAAGUCCAUCCGGCAGCC